CCUCAUAGAGCAUCAUUUCACGGAGGAGUGAAAAUCAUAGAGUACCCUUUCGAGAAGAGAGCUGGACCUCAAAAAGGUAAGAUAAAAGAAAAGACAAAGAGCAGAGGGACGAAAUGUUCAUCAAGAACAUUAUCAUAUCCGGUUUUCGCUCCUAUCGCGAGCAAUCGUUUCCAGAUGGACUUUCCCCCAAAACAAACGUGAUUGUAGGCAAGAACGGUUCUGGAAAGUCGAACUUCUUUGCCGCUAUUCAGUUUGUGCUGAACGAGAAAUUCGCCAACUUGCGCGCUGCAGAGCGGAAGGAACUUUUUCACGUGGGCAGUGGGAGGCCGGCGCUGUCUGUCUUUGUGGAAAUCGUGUUCGAUAACUCGGAUGGUAGGCUUGUCAUUCCGGGCCGUGCGGAGGAGCCGGAGGUACGGAUUCGCCGCACGGUCGGCCUAAAGCAGGAUGAGUUUCGCGUGAACGAUCGCAAGUUCUCGGCGUCUGACGUCCACCAGCUUCUGGAGAGUGCUGGCUUCUCCUCCAGCAACCCUUACUAUGUUGUGGAGCAGGGGAAGAUUGUGAGUUUGGUGAACAUGAGCGAGGAAGAGCGCUACCAGCUCAUCAAGGAUGUUGCGGGGACGAAAGUGUACGAUGCGCGACGUGCGGAGAGCGAGCACAUCCUUGCGGAGACGAAGGGAAAGCAAGGCCAGAUCACAGAGUCGAUCGGGGAGCUGCAGAGGCGCCUAAAGGAGCUGGAGUCCGAGACGGCGGAGCUGAAGCAGUACGAAGAGGCGGAUCGGGAAAAAAAGUGCAUUGAGUACUGCAUUUUCAAUUCUGAGCUGGAAGCGGCAAACGAUGCGUUGCUGAAGGUGGAGGAAGAGUGGAACAAGCAAUCCACGCUGUUUAACAAAUCGCAAGAUGUCGACGAAGCCUCGGAGCAGAAAAUAUCGAAUUUCUCGCAGAAGAUCAUGGACAUUUCUACCGACAUUGCCCGUCUGGAGAUGGAGAGGAUUGCUGUUGCGAAGGAUAUGGCUGCUCUGACGAGUAAGCAGGCGGUUGUGGAGCUGGACGCCAGUGAGGCUGCAGGGAGAUUUGCCCGCAACAACCGGGAACUUGAGGCACUCUGUAGGGAGGAUCGAGAGCUUAGCGCGACCAUCCAGACGGUCGCCGCCGACAUUGAAAAGAAGAAAUCACUCUUCCACUCGAGCGAAGAGGCGGCGAACAAAAAGGCGGCCGAGGUGGAGGCUCAGCGCAAGGUUCUCGAGCGGCUGCAGGAGCGUCGUAACCGAACCAAACUCUUCAGGAGCAAAGUGGAGCGCGACAAGUGGGUGAGGGGCGAAAUACAGAAAAACGAAGAUUCUAUCCGAAAAUCGCAGGAAGAGCUGGUUUCGGUUUGCCGUGAAAUGGAACUGGUGGAAAAGGAAGCGGCUGCGUUGUCGAAGGAGAUUUCCGCACCAAAUCUGUCUACUGCCGAUGUGGAUCAGAGUUUGCGGGACCACGAUGAGCGAAUCAAGGCCGCACUCUGCCAACGAGACCAGCUAAACCAUCAGCGGCGGCAGUUAUGGCAGUCGGUGCACAGGCAGGAAAGUGUGGUUCAGCGGCUCGACGAGGAGUUGCGAAACGCGAAGCAGCUGUGGGAGCGGGCUGUUCGCCAAGAUAUACGUCAGGGGCUCCAAUCUCUUUCAGAGGUCCUUCACGACAUGAGAAAUCCGGUGCUAUCUGCCGCCGUGCAGGGUCCGCUGAUCGACCUUAUUGAGGUGGCGGACGGUUACAAAACGGCUGUGGAAAUCACAGCGGGUAACACCCUCUUCAAUGUUGUUGUGGACUCGUUCGAGGUGAGCACGAUUCUGCUCGCUGAGAUGAACAAGCGACGGAAACCUGGCCGUGUUUCGUUUUUCCCGUUGGACACAUGCAGCGGGAAGGCUUUGGACAUUGCCACAACACCGGAGUGCUCGCCGCUGCUGUCUAAGAUCAAGUACGACACGCGCUUCAAGGGUGUGGUGGCUGAGGUCUUUGGGAGGACGGCCGUCGUUGCCUCGCUGGAAACGGCGGCCACGAUGGUGGGCAAGCUGCAGUGGGACGUCAUCACGGUGGACGGCGACCAGCUGGGGCGCAAGGGCGGAAUCACGGGUGGCUUCAUUGACAAGCGCCACAUGAAGCUUCCUCUUCGAGAGCGCGAAAGGGAGCUGGCCGCCGACCGUCAGACAGCGCGCGCAAAGCUGGACGGCCUGUGCCAGGAGGUGGCCACAGUGGAGCAGAGCAUCACGGAGGUGCUCAACGAGCUUGAGGCGCUUCGCAAUCAGAACAUGUCGACGGAGCGGGAAGCGGAUGCCCGGUUGCGUGAGACGCGCCUGAUGGAGGAUCGUCGAUCUUGCCUGGCGACUCUGAAGUCGAACUUGGUAGCAACCAAGAAGGCGGUAGAGAGUUCCGUUGCGGCGGCGACGGAAACAGUGCGGGAGCUGAAGAGGGAGCUCUCUGACGAAUUCAAGAGCGCAUGGACGCCAGAGGAAGAGAAGAGGCUAGAGCAGCUGACAGAAGAAGUGGCUGCCGCUCGCGUGGCGUCGUCUGAGAUGCAGGCAAGUACACUGCAACUGGCUACCGAGGUUCAGCUUCUGGAGGACACUGCGCGGCACGUGGAGCGGCGUAAGGCGGUUGUCGCUGACCGCAUCCGCGAGCUGAGCUGGUCGAGGCAUGCCGGUAGCAUAGCGGGUGGAGAAGAGGCUGCUGUGAAGGCCGAGUUCGAGUUGCUUUCGCAGCGGCUGCAGAGUAUCGACCAUGACUUGGAGCAAGAAGCUCGCGAGCGCGAGAAGCUGCAGUCGCAGCUCGAUGCGUUGACAUCGAAGCGGCUGGGCGCGGCGCGGAGCUUGCAGGAGCGCAAGGACGUCGCGGACAGGACGCAGAUGCAGCGGAGUGUGCUAGUGCAGCGCCGCGAUGAGGCGCUGCAGAAGAUCCGACAGCUAGGAGUGCUGCCUCAGGGGGUUGCCAAGUUUGAGUCGGCGUCUCUCGGGAAGCUGAUGUACCACUUGAAGGCAGCCAAUGAGAAACUCAAGGCCUUGUCGCAUGUGAACCGCAAGGCUGUCGACCAGUACGCGACCCUCCAGGAGGCUAUGAAAGACCUAACGUCGCAGCAGGAGACACUGGCCAAAGAACUGGACAGCAUUCACGAACUGAUGGAACACUUGGACGCAAAGAAGGAGGAGGCCAUUGAGCGCACGUACAAGCAGGUUCAGUACCAGUUUGAGGACGUUUUUAAACAGCUCGUAGGUGUGGAGAGCUGCUCGGCGGAGCUGCAGCUUGUCGCGUCUGCCGCGCCGAACAAGGAGGACCCGUACACUGGCGCACGUAUCAAGGUGUCGUUUGGUCUUGGAAACCCUGUCAGCCACCUGGACCAGCUUAGUGGCGGGCAGAAGUCUCUUGUUGCUUUGGCGCUCAUCUUUGCGAUCCAGCGCUGCGACCCUGCUCCGUUCUACCUGUUUGACGAAAUCGAUGCCGCUCUCGAUGCGGAGUACCGCACAUCUGUAGCGAACAUGAUGGCGCGUCAGUCCGGCGAGUGCCAGUUCCUCGUGGCAACCUUCAAGACGGAACUCCUGGACGUAGCGGACAAGGUGCUCGGCAUUUUCUUCCACAACAAGAUGAGCCGCAUCCAGGCCAUUGCGAGGGAGGAGGGUGUGAGGCUGCUGAAGCAGGCAGCACUUGAGGAUCGCAAGCGUUCCCGCGAAGUCGAGUAGGUGCUUUCCUGCCGUGGUGCAUGAUGACGGUUCUGUGCAACACGAAACGGAAAGAAAACCGAAAAAGACAUGCGCAUCCGCGGUUGCAAGGAUGGCGCCGUUUUGAUUACGGCAUGUGUGCGUUCACAUUUGUGGUUUUCGUGCAGCUAUUCAGAAACGACCUCGUUUGGUUUCACUUUUUGUUUUCUCUGCUCUCUUCCCCUGAUGUGCCCGCGUUUCGCCGCCUCUGAAGUGUGACCGUAACUAGCACACGGGCCAUAGACUCAUAGAGUAUCAGACGCCUUUUCUGCAUAUAAGCACGCCUGUCAGUGUAUGUGCGGAUGCGCGCGCCUAAAGAAGACAUCAACUCAGACUCCAUAGACCACUUUCUUUUUCUUUGGCUCUUUUUUGUUGUGUUGGUUUUCAGCUGUUUUCUGGUGUUUCUCUCCUUGUGCCCCUCGGGGGCCGGGUGAGCGACGUACCGGAAGGCGACUUGGUUUCUUUUUUUUUCGGCUUUUUUUCUAUUAGCGGUGGUGCCGGCUGCAGUGCAUUUCUGUUUCACCUCGAGGAUACUUAGCACGCUGUGCGCUUCUUUUGAUAUGACCUGAACUGAUG
rnacentral:misc_RNA from 1 species